rnacentral:rRNA from 1 species
CCUACGGGAGGCAGCAGUGAGGAAUAUUGGUCAAUGGACGAGAGUCUGAACCAGCCAAGUAGCGUGAAGGAUGACUGCCCUAUGGGUUGUAAACUUCUUUUAUAUGGGAAUAAAGUGUUCCACGUGUGGGCUUUUGUAUGUACCAUAUGAAUAAGGAUCGGCUAACUCCGUGCCAGCAGCCGCGGUAAUACGGAGGAUCCGAGCGUUAUCCGGAUUUAUUGGGUUUAAAGGGAGCGUAGGUGGAUUGUUAAGUCAGUUGUGAAAGUUUGCGGCUCAACCGUAAAAUUGCAGUUGAAACUGGCAGUCUUGAGUACAGUAGAGGUGGGCGGAAUUCGUGGUGUAGCGGUGAAAUGCUUAGAUAUCACGAAGAACUCCGAUUGCGAAGGCAGCUCACUGGACUGCAACUGACACUGAGGCUCGAAAGUGUGGGUAUCAAACAGGAUUAGAUACCCUAGUAGUC